rnacentral:rRNA from 1 species
GAGGAGCUCGCGGCGGAUUAGCUUGUUGGUGAGGUAACGGCUCACCAAGGCGACGAUCCGUAGCUGGUCUGAGAGGACGAUCAGCCACACUGGGACUGAGACACGGCCCAGACUCCUACGGGAGGCAGCAGUGGGGAAUCUUGCGCAAUGGGCGAAAGCCUGACGCAGCGACGCCGCGUGGGGGAAGAAGGCCUUCGGGUUGUAAACCCCUUUCAGGAGGGACGAAGCCACUCGGGUUAAUAGCCCAGAGGGUGACGGUACCUCCAGAAGAAGCCCCGGCUAACUACGUGCCAGCAGCCGCGGUAAGACGUAGGGGGCCAGCGUUGCUCGGAAUUACUGGGCGUAAAGGGUCCGUAGGCGGUGCGGCAAGUCGGGGGUGAAAUCUCUGGGCUUAACUCAGAGGCUGCCUCCGAAACUGCCGUGCUCGAGUGCGGGAGAGGCGAGCGGAAUUGCAGGUGUAGCGGUGAAAUGCGUAGAUAUCUGCAGG